rnacentral:rRNA from 1 species
GGAGUGAACGCUGGCGGCGUGCUUAACACAUGCAAGUACGAACGGAAAGGACCCGAACGCUUGUCUUGGGUACGUCGAGUGGCGAACGGGUGGAGUAACGACGUGGGUGGAUCUGCCCCGCACUUCGGGAUAAGCCUGGGAAACUGGGUCUAAUACCGGAUAGGACAGUGGUUUGGAUGCCAUUGUGGAAAGUUUUUUCGGUGUGGGAUGAGCUCGCGGCCUAUCAGCUUGUUGGUGGGGUAAUGGCCUACCAAGGCGUCGACGGGUAGCCGGCCUGAGAGGGUGUACGGCCACAUUGGGACUGAGGUACGGCCCAGACUCCUACGGGAGGCAGCAGUGGGGAAUAUUGCACAAUGGGCGCAAGCCUGAUGCAGCGACGCCGCGUGGGGGAUGACGGCCUUCGGGUUGUAAACUCCUUUCGCUAGGGACGAAGCGCAAGUGACGGUACCUAGAGAAGAAGCACCGGCUAACUACGUG